rnacentral:rRNA from 1 species
UACGGAGGGGGCUAGCGUUGUUCGGAAUUACUGGGCGUAAAGCGCACGUAGGCGGCUUUGCAAGUCAGAGGUGAAAGCCCGGGGCUCAACCCCGGAAUUGCCUUUGAGACUGCAUCGCUAGAAUUGUGGAGAGGUAAGUGGAAUUCCGCGUGUAGCAGUGAAAUGCGUAGAUAUGCGGAGGAACACCGAUGGCGAAGGCAAUCCCCUGGACCUGUACUGACGCUCAUGCACGAAAGCGUGGGGAGCAAACAGG